CUCGAGAACCCAUCGACCCCAUAACGGCAGGAGCGGGGGACCCAGGUAAGUCGCCGAUCCGGACACCGCGCCGGAACGGCUUGGGGUGAAGUCGUGCCCUCUGCACCGAGGACACGACCGGGCACCUCCCCGCCCGAACCCGACAGCUCACCUCGCAGGCGUAGGAGAGGAAUA
rnacentral:sRNA from 2 species